CCUACGGGGUGCAGCAGUAGGGAAUAUUGCUCAAUGGGGGAAACCCUGAAGCAGCAACGCCGCGUGGAGGAUGAAGGUUUUCGGAUUGUAAACCCCUUUUGUUAGAGAAGAUAAUGACGGUAUCUAACGAAUAAGCACCGGCUAACUCCGUGCCAGCAGCCGCGGUAAUACGGAGGGUGCCAGCGUUACUCGGAAUCACUGGGCGUAAAGAGCGCGUAGGCGGGAUAGCAAGUCAGAUGUGAAAUCCUAUGGCUUAACCAUAGAACUGCAUUUGAAACUGUUAUUCUAGAGUAUGGGAGAGGUAGGUGGAAUUCUUGGUGUAGGGGUAAAAUGCGUAGAGAUCAAGAGGAAUACUCAUUGCGAAGGCGACCUGCUAGAACAUAACUGACGCUGAUGCGCGAAAGCGUGGGGAGCAAACAGGAUUAGAUACCCUAGUAGUC
rnacentral:rRNA from 1 species